GACGAACGCUGGCGGCGUGCUUAACACAUGCAAGUCGAACGGAAAGGCCCUGCUUUUGUGGGGUGCUCGAGUGGCGAACGGGUGAGUAACACGUGAGUAACCUGCCCUUGACUUUGGGAUAACUUCAGGAAACUGGGGCUAAUACCGGAUAGGAGCUCCUGCUGCAUGGUGGGGGUUGGAAAGUUUCGGCGGUUGGGGAUGGACUCGCGGCUUAUCAGCUUGUUGGUGGGGUAGUGGCUUACCAAGGCUUUGACGGGUAGCCGGCCUGAGAGGGUGACCGGCCACAUUGGGACUGAGAUACGGCCCAGACUCCUACGGGCGGCAGCAGUGGGGAAUAUUGCACAAUGGGCGGAAGCCUGAUGCAGCAACGCCGCGUGCGGGAUGACGGCCUUCGGGUUGUAAACCGCUUUCGCCUGUGACGAAGCGUGCGUGACGGUAAUGGGUAAAGAAGCACCGGCUAACUACGUG
rnacentral:rRNA from 1 species